UACGAAGGGGGCUAGCGUUGUUCGGAAUCACUGGGCGUAAAGCGCACGUAGGCGGCUCUUUAAGUCAGGGGUGAAAUCCCAAGGCUCAACCUUGGAACUGCCUUUGAUACUGGGGAUCUCGAGUCCGGAAGAGGUGAGUGGAACUGCGAGUGUAGAGGUGAAAUUCGUAGAUAUUCGCAAGAACGCCAGUGGCGAAGGCGGCUCACUGGUCCGGUACUGACGCUGAGGUGCGAAAGCGUGGGGAGCAAACAGG
rnacentral:rRNA from 1 species